CCAGUUUGAAUCAAUGCUAUGCCUGCUCCGAGAAGGCCUGUCUGAUAAAAGCAGAAUGCGUGAAAUACAUGGCCACAAAAUAACAAAGGGAAGAGGCUAUUAUGUCUUCAAAUUUAUGGAUUAUAACUGUUCAGUGGAGUUUGUGAGGUCACAUUUCCUUGUAAGGGAAGGGGUUCGCAUCAAUGCACAGGGAAACUCAAAUCCAACUUUAUCCAUUGACCGAAUUGACAAGACAUCAGGUCGGUGGAAGCGGGCGAACAUUCUUGUUUUUUAUACUNNNNNNNNNNNGGAAAAACUGCUCGUGGGAAAAAUUACUAUAAAGAAGGUGAUUAUCUCUAUCCACAGUUUGAUGCAGUUGAGGCUUACAGAAGGGCUCUGAGGACCUGGGCAAAG
rnacentral:misc_RNA from 1 species